AUUUAUAUAGUUUAAAUAAAACAUUACAUUUUCAUUGUAAAAAUAAAGAAAAUUUUUUAAAUA
rnacentral:tRNA from 1 species